rnacentral:lncRNA from 1 species
ACACACACACACAGACACACACACACACACAAACCCAGACCGGGUGAGCCGGGUUCUGCUUCCUCCAUAAUACCAAAUGCGGGCAAGAGCAGCGCCUAGGGAGGACCCUUCGCAAGAAGUCCUGUCCCCGGAGGAGCCGUGCCUCCCGCCUCGCCAGGGUGCGAAGAGCGGAGUAAAGCCGGCUACUUACGUUUGAGGGAAGAGGAGCCUUGCGCCCUCUGGUGGGCAAGAGUGGAAUCGAACUCGGUAUUUACCGGGCUCCAGAAAACCGAAAGUGGCAUUUCUUCUCCUCAUCCUCCUUCUAGUCAACCGAAGCUACUAGCGGGUUUUAAAGGAGCUAUGCUUAUUUCCCUCCCAGGAGUGAGCAGACAAGAGUUGUUUCUAAAUGAUCUCCUUUGGUCCCCCUUCACUUCGUGACUGUGUAAUAAAAUAGAGCCCUGGCAGUCGUGCAUCUCUGCUUCUUAACAUAUGUCAUACAUGGUAUGUAUAAAUAAGAUGCACUUUGUCUUCUGGCAGAAGCGGGCCUAUCUCAUCAAGAGAGCUAAAAGGGACUUGAGAAGCCAUUCGAUUCAACACUUUCAUUUUACAUAUGAGCAAUGUGUCUCCCAGAACUGAAGCAGCUUGCCCAUGCAAAACCUGGGGUCUGAAUUCCAUUUCCACU